AAUAAGUUUAUUUUUCAGUUUUUUAUAUGAUUUUUGGCUCUUCGUCUUAUUUGAAUUCUUUUAUGAUUAAUAUUUUUAAUGUUAUUAGAUAAUAAAACAUGAAUAAUACUUUAUACGUGACUAUUUUUUAAUUUUUUUACAAAUCUUUAAAUAAAAUGGAUGAUUAAACGCUGGACACAGAA
rnacentral:pre_miRNA from 1 species